rnacentral:tRNA from 1 species
ACGCCUGUAGCUCAGUGGAUAGAGCAGUGGCCUCCGGAGCCACGUGCGGUGGUUCGAUUCCACUCAGGCGUACCA